UAGGGAAUCUUCGGCAAUGGGGGCAACCCUGACCGAGCAACGCCGCGUGAGUGAAGAAGGUUUUCGGAUCGUAAAGCUCUGUUGUAAGAGAAGAACGUGUGUGAGAGUGGAAAGUUCACACAGUGACAGUAACUUACCAGAAAGGGACGGCUAACUACGUGCCAA
rnacentral:rRNA from 1 species